GCCAUAUAAAUAUCAAGAUGUAAAUAAAUAACUAAGCAUGAAUAGGAACAGCACAUCACUGCUCCACCUGUAGAAAGAAAUGGGAUCAGCCUUGCCAAUUCUUCCAACAAUGGGGACAAUAGGGGGGAUAUGUCAGGAUAAAGGCUACAAGAUAACUUAUCCAAAAAGGAAGAGUGAAACUAAACAUGGAGCUGCUAUUUUCAGCAGUAGCAUUGUGUCUCUUGUCAUUUAUACUUUUUAUAUGCAUGCCUCCAAGUGUAUCAAGCCUGUGAAC
rnacentral:lncRNA from 11 species